UACGUAGGGCGCAAGCGUUAUCCGGAAUUAUUGGGCGUAAAGAGCUCGUAGGCGGUUUGUCGCGUCUGCCGUGAAAGUCCGGGGCUCAACUCCGGAUCUGCGGUGGGUACGGGCAGACUAGAGUGAUGUAGGGGAGACUGGAAUUCCUGGUGUAGCGGUGGAAUGCGCAGAUAUCAGGAGGAACACCUGCGGCGAAGGCGGGUUGCUGGGCUGACACUGACGCUGACAGCGCGAAAGCUAGGGGAGCGAACGGG
rnacentral:rRNA from 1 species